GCACAAGCGGUGGAGCAUGUGGUUAAUUCGAAGCAACGCGAAGAACCUUACCAGGCCUUGACAUGCAGAGAACUUUCCAGAGAUGGAUUGGUGCCUUCGGGAACUCUGACACAGGUGCUGCAUGGCUGUCGUCAGCUCGUGUCGUGAGAUGUUGGGUUAAGUCCCGUAACGAGCGCAACCCUUGUCCUUAGUUACCAGCACGUUAAGGUGGGCACUCUAAGGAGACUGCCGGUGACAAACCGGAGGAAGGUGGGGAUGACGUCAAGUCCUCAUGGCCCUUAUGGGUAGGGCUUCACACGUCAUACAAUGGUCGGUACAGAGGGUUGCCAACCCGCGAGGGGGAGCUAAUCCCACAAAGCCGAUCGUAGUCCGGAUCGCAGUCUGCAACUCGACUGCGUGAAGUCGGAAUCGCUAGUAAUCGUGGAUCAGCAUGUCACGGUGAAUACGUUCCCGGGUCUU
rnacentral:rRNA from 1 species